GUGAGGAAUAUUGCGCAAUGGAGGCAACUCUGACGCAGCCAUGCCGCGUGCAGGAAGAAGGCGCUACGCGUUGUAAACUGCUUUUAACCGGGAAGAAACCCCAGGACGUGUCCUGGGUUGACGGUACCGGAGGAAUAAGCACCGGCUAACUUCGUGCCAGCAGCCGCGGUAAUACGAAGGGUGCAAGCGUUAUCCGGAGUCAUUGGGUUUAAAGGGUGCGUAGGCGGAGCGUUAAGUCAGUGGUGAAAUCCUGCGGCGUAACUGUAGACUUGGCAUUGAUACUGGCGGUCUGGAGUGCGCGUGGAGUGGGCGAAAUGUGCCGUGUAGCGGGGAAAUGCUUAGAUAGGGCACAGAACACCAAUGGCGAAGGCAGCUCACUAAGGCGUUACUGACGCUGAGGCACGAAAGCGUGGGGAUCGAACAGGAUUAGAAACCCGUGUAGUCC
rnacentral:rRNA from 1 species